AACCAGCACCUCAAGUGGUCAGGAUGAUUAUUGGGCCUAAAGCAUCCGUAGCCGGCUCUGUAAGUUUUCGGUUAAAUCUGUACGCUUAACGUACAGGCUGCCGGGAAUACUGCAGAGCUAGGGAGUGGGAGAGGUAGACGGUACUCGGUAGGAAGGGGUAAAAUCCUUUGAUCUAUUGAUGACCACCUGUGGCGAAGGCGGUCUACCAGAACACGUCCGACGGUGAGGGAUGAAAGCUGGGGGAGCAAAC
rnacentral:rRNA from 1 species